rnacentral:rRNA from 1 species
AUGACUCUCGGCAACGGAUAUCUCGGCUCUCGCAUCGAUGAAGAACGUAGCGAAAUGCGAUACUUGGUGUGAAUUGGAGAAUCCCGUGAACCAUCGAGUCUUUGAACGCAAGUUGCGCCCGAAGCCACUAGGCCGAGGGCACGUCUGCCUGGGUGUCAC